rnacentral:rRNA from 1 species
CCUACGGGUGGCUGCAGUGGGGAAUAUUGCACAAUGGGCGCAAGCCUGAUGCAGCCAUGCCGCGUGUGUGAAGAAGGCCUUCGGGUUGUAAAGCACUUUCAGCGGGGAGGAAGGCGGUGAGGUUAAUAACCUCAUCGAUUGACGUUACCCGCAGAAGAAGCACCGGCUAACUCCGUGCCAGCAGCCGCGGUAAUACGGAGGGUGCGAGCGUUAAUCGGAAUUACUGGGCGUAAAGCGCACGCAGGCGGUCUGCCAAGUCGGAUGUGAAAUCCCCGGGCUCAACCUGGGAACUGCAUUCGAAACUGGCAGGCUAGAGUCUUGUAGAGGGGGGUAGAAUUCCAGGUGUAGCGGUGAAAUGCGUAGAGAUCUGGAGGAAUACCGGUGGCGAAGGCGGCCCCCUGGACAAAGACUGACGCUCAGGUGCGAAAGCGUGGGGAGCAAACAGGAUUAGAUACCCCGGUAGUC